rnacentral:rRNA from 1 species
UACGUAGGGUGCAAGCGUUAAUCGGAAUUACUGGGCGUAAAGCGUGCGCAGGCGGUUCUAUAAGACAGAUGUGAAAUCCCCGGGCUCAACCUGGGAACUGCAUUUGUGACUGUAGAGCUGGAGUACGGUAGAGGGGGAUGGAAUUCCGCGUGUAGCAGUGAAAUGCGUAGAUAUGCGGAGGAACACCGAUGGCGAAGGCAGCCCCCUGGGCUAACACUGACGCUCAUGCACGAAAGCGUGGGGAGCAAACAGG